UACGAAGGGGGCUAGCGUUGUUCGGAUUUACUGGGCGUAAAGCGCACGUAGGCGGAUCGUUAAGUCGGGGGUGAAAUCCUGGAGCUCAACUCCAGAACUGCCUUCGAUACUGGCGAUCUCGAGUCCGGAAGAGGUGAGUGGAACUCCUAGUGUAGAGGUGGAAUUCGUAGAUAUUAGGAAGAACACCGGUGGCGAAGGCGGCUACACUGGUCCGGUACUGACGCUGAGGUGCGAAAGCGUGGGGAGCA
rnacentral:rRNA from 1 species